UGUUCCUUUAUUUAUUUGUUCAUAUCCAGUUGCUUUUUACUUUUAGAUUCUGAAUGGAAGGAAGAAGCUUUUGGUUUUACAAAGAUGUUUAUUUUUGUUUUUUCUUCUGUGGAUAACUCUUCUACCAGCAAUUUUGCUCAAACUUUUAAUGAUUCACAAAUAAAUCAACAUUGUACAUAUUAGUCCAUUUUACAAUACAAU